UCCGCAGGUGAAAAAAGGCAGUUCUACACGCCUGAGAUAUGUGAGCCUUAAAUGAUAAAUCUAAUAGUAAGGCCUUGAGGACAAUGGUGAAGGAAAAGUAGAAAGCCAAAAAGGAGAAAGCCUUAGCUGUGGUUAGCAGAGCCUCUGCUGUCAGCCUGACAGCAGACAUGUGGACAUCCAUUAACAUGGACGCUUACUUGGCUGUAACAUGCCAUUUUAUCACUGAGUAGGUAAGUAUCCCCUGCUUCGUGCAAUGCUUUGGUUUAUGUAUCUCAGUUUGAUUUUGUUCAUUCUAGGUGGAGCUGGCCUCUGUGGUCUUGGGGGUUCUGAAGUUUCCCCAAACCCACACUGCAGCUCACUUGGCUGAGGCCAAAAAUCUUCUCAUGGAAGAAUGGGGAAUUAAAGAGAAGGUGACAGGCCUUCACCUGUCCCUUGCCCAAACCCCUGAACUAGAGGAUAUCCGAAGUAAGGGGCGUAGGAUUGUCGGUCUUUUUAAAUCCAGCACCACAGCGAAGGAGAAGCUGUCAGAGAUGCAGCGACAGCUGGCCAGGCCAGAGCACAAAUUAAUACAAGAGGUGGAAACAAGAUGGAACAGCACAUUUAAUAUGUUGGAAAGGCUGUUUAAGGAGAGAGAGCCACUGGGGGCAGCUCUGGCCCCCCUCCAUACGGACCUUCCUCCAUUCACCUCAGAGGACUACCAGGCCAUACACCACUGCUUGAGCGUUGUUUCACCAUUUCAAGAGGCCACAGUUGAGCUUCCCACAGAAAAACGGGUUUCAGCUUCCAAAGUCAUUCCCAUAGUUAAAAUGCUGGAACAUUACAUUUCAAGCAGAUGUGGUCAGAUCACACACACAGCCAAGGCUCUGCCCACAGGGCCAUAGAGCGACUCACGAAAGAGUGUGCUGCAACAAUGCAGGUGCUACUUCCAGCGGAGGCACAGCCACAGUCAGCAGGAAGAUGGUCUCUGGGCCCUGCUGGACAGGCAUGUGGGGGCUCAACAGCAGGUGACCAGCACAACUGCCAGUGCAACAGUGGAGGUUCAAAGGUACUUCAAGGAACCCCACAUCCCAAUGACUGAGGACCCACUGAGAUACUGGGUUACCCACAAGGUAUUAUACCCACAUCUCUACAAGCUGGCAAUGAAGUUUUUAUGCACAGCAGCUUCCUCUGUGCCACGUGAGAGGAUUUUCUCAAAGGCUGGCAAAAUAGUCAGCCAAAGACAAAACAGGCUGAAGCCCAGCACAGUGGAGAAAAUUCUGUUUAUAAAUAAAUAUCUAUAAUAUGUAUCCCACCCAGGCAUUUUAGAUAGGACCUGGUUCACAAGCACUCAUUCUCACUUUAGAGUUGGCUUUCACAAUGUAACACAAGCACUUCUCACAAAUCUUCAAACAUUGUCUUCUUAUUUCAUUUCCACACUGAAGUGUUACAAGGGCAAGGAGCUUAGUGAAGUAGAUGAUAAACGUCCAGUCCACCACCAGAUGCCGCUGUUUUGUGUGGUUUCAAAGCCCCAAAUGUUUCAUUCAUUUUUCUGGCAUAAUUACAUAAAGCCCCAUGAGAGCUUCAUGGGGCUUCUAUUCCCAUCCCUAGGGAGUACCCAGAUGCAGAGAGGAGGAGGCAGGAGUUCCAGGUGAACGAGAUCUUUAGUAAAGUCAGCAAACUUGAAGCCAAAAACCACUGCUUAAGCAGGCAAGACAAACUAAAAAAUUUGAAACACUCGAAAUACACAGGAACUGGGGAGACCUAAAACUAUGGAGCAGCACAGGAUGAUGGGAAAGACAGGACUUAAAUACAUACAGAACAGAUGAGACACAGGUGGAAACAAUGAGGGAAGAUAGGGACCAAAAGCAAAACUCGAAAGAACAACAUAACAGGAAACCUUUCAAAAUAAAACAGAAAACUGAAUUCAAAACAUGACAGAAACAAAAGAGAGCCAGAACACAAAAGCAAGGACACUAAAACUGUGACACUCAUAUUAUAUUUCUUUUUCUCUUAGAGUGAACCAGCAUGUUUGAGUAAUCCAAGUUGUAGAAAUGUCCUUAUUUCUCCUCUAGGCAACGGUUUUCAUCCUAAAAAACAAUAAAGCAAAUUCUGAAAAAAUUACUGUAAAAAUCGGAAAAAAUGUAUCCAAAGGUGGAUAAAAGUGGAAGGAUUUCAUGUAAUCCAUGGACACCAGUGAAGAUCACAAAUCAUUGAAGAAAAAAGGUUCAGAGCACCGUCUAGUGCUGGGGUGUCAAACAUCCGGCCCGCCAGGUGGUUUAGACCGGCCCACACAUGAAGAGUAAAAAUCAUAAGGAUGUUUA